rnacentral:lncRNA from 1 species
AGUGUGGGCAGCAGAGGGCAGCAAUGAGCUUCACAUGGCCUUCUGAUCUCAGAACCUCUGGAAAUUGAACCUGCCUCUCUGAUCCUCCAGCUCCAUUGCACAGAUGGGGAAAUCAGUCCUUGGCAGGACAGCGAGAAAGACGCAGGACAACUCAGUGAGAAGCAGAGUGAAGGUGAAGGAGGGCCCAGGGAGAGCCAGGACCCCCAAGAUGCUGCUGGGAAAGACCUAGGGAAAUACCUGAUACUAUUGCUGUUGCAAGUGAUGACCAUGUGUGAGAUACUGGUGUGUGCAGACCCUGGGUCUAGAGAGCUGACACCAUGAUCUCCUGAAAGACAUCACAACUACUGCUCUCCAUACUUCCCAUUGAGUCUCUAACCCAGACUGAUCAUGGGGAAAAUGUAAAUAUGGCCACCUGUGCACACACUCUCUCUCUACUUUUGAGAUGGGGGUCUAAUUUUGGAACUCACUAUAUAGCUUAGGCUAGCCUCAAAUUCAUGGCAGUUCUCCUGCCUCCAAGUGCUGGGAUUACAAGCUUGAACCACCACACCUGGCUUGUCUCUUUCUUAACCUUCCAACAGGGGAUGGGGAAAUGGCUCAGAGAAUAAAAGCACUUGCCUUGCAAACACAAGGACUGGCUUUUGGAUACCCAUCACUUACAUAAAAGCCAGGCUUGUGACACACACACACACACACACCCAAACAAACAAACAAACAAACAAACAAACAG